rnacentral:tRNA from 1 species
AGCAGUGUGGCUUAGUGGCAAUAGCACGGGCUUGGAAUGUCAGAGGACAUGGGUUCUAAUCCCGGCUCUGCCA